CGCCGUGCGCGCCCCUUGGGCUGUGGUGGCGGCCGGCGGGGCCAUGGCGGGCGCUGCGGUUCGGCCCCGGUGCCGCGGCCGUGUCCGCGCUGUGAGGGGCGGCCGGAGCCUGCCCGCCCGUGUGACCGCGGCUGGCAGAGGGGCCGGGGUCCCCCGCGCCUUCCGGGCUGCGCUGUGCGCUUGGGGAGACCUUUGGAUGCGUGCGGGGAGGGGCGAGGCGUUGUGGAGCUCGGCGCAGGGUGAGUCCGAGCUCUCCCGCCUCGGGGCUCCCGGCCGGGGGCAGGAGCAGCCGUGCCGGGGCUGUGCCGGCAGCUCAGGGCUGCCCCGGCCCGGGGCCUCUCCCGCGGGAGAGUGUGGCAUGGUAGAGUAGGGAGCCAGGCGGUGCUCUGGAGCUUGGAACCCACACAGGUGUUUCCCAAUCAUAUUGGCAGAGACUCAGCUGCGGGGGAGCUGCAGAGAAGGCUGUCUCCCCCGACUGGGGUCUCGCAGAGGAUGGGGCAGUGGCAGCCACCGGGUCGUUCCCGUGAGAUUUGGCAAGUCCGCGGGAGGGUUUCCUGACUGUCCCUGUCUCCGAGCCGGCUGUGCCUUGUCCGGAGGCCCUGCCCGGGCAGCCCGGCUCGGCGCAGCUGGGUCCCUGCUCCCAGGCUCGCCGGAGGGAGGCAGAGCCACCAGAGCGUGGGUCGGGCUGGAAGGGGGCAGGUGGGGCCUGCAGCCAGGCAGGGGCAGGGAGAGGAGGCCAAGCCUCUACACCAGCCCAGGAGAAGCUUCUGAGAGGCACCGGGGGCUUUGUUUGCCCAGAAAGCUGCGGCUAUCGGGGAUGACCCGGCCCCUGCAGCACUGUGAGAAAAGAGGCAGGUAAGGGCUCACAGGGGUCAGCUGCAGUCCUUAGAAGCAGGGUCUGCUUCCACCACUGCGCUUUGCUGCCUGCAGGGACCUCUGGUGUGCACUGGGAGCUCCUGCUGGGGCAAGAGUUUUGUCUUGCAAGAGGCAAAGCUGCAGCCUCUUCCUCAGCAGGGACUGUCUCCAUGCAGGAAACAGCACAGGGCACUGGCCGAGGGGCUCAGCCUGGGAUGUGGCCCCAGCAGGAGCAGCCCUGGGCACACUGACACAGCAGGAUGAGCCAGGUGAGGAGCACGGCCCAGCACAGCACCGAGAGAGGCUGGCACGGGAGGGUGAGCCCAGAGAAGGAGACGCUGCUGCCCCACGUCCCCAGGAGAGCCCCUGCCUCGCUUCUGCUCUCGGGGAUGGCACUGGGAGACACCUCCACGCAGAGAGUGGCACCUGGCCUGGCUUCACUCCCCGAGGGAAGAGGCUGGGCUUCCUGCUGCUCAGAGCUCCUGAUUAGGGACAUCCACGCCUGCGCCUGGCUGGGAAUCCGGGGUGCACCGGUACCAGAUCCAGCCACGAGACAUCCCUGCUGCAGCUGCAGGGGUUAGGCAGUCCAGCUUGCUGAACCUCCAGCUCUGGCUGUGGCGUGUUCUUCAUUCCAGCUCUGGAACUGAGAUGCUCCAGUUGAUGGCUGCUCCAGUUCCUGCUGCUUUUUGUUACAAGCCAAUUUAAACUCCAGCUAAUUGCAGUUACCUGGGCUUUUGGCCAAGUUGUAAAUCACUCACUGUCAUCAAUGACAUACAACUAUUAACUUUGUUAUAACUAUUAACUAUUUAUUGUCAUUAAGUUAUUGUUUAAAUAGAAGUCAUAACUGCUGCAGUGGUUGUGCACAAUAAACAGUUGGAUGUGGAAAA